rnacentral:rRNA from 1 species
AUAUUGGACAAUGGGCGCAAGCCUGAUCCAGCCAUGCCGCGUGAAUGAUGAAGGCCUUAGGGUUGUAAAGUUCUUUCACCGGAGAAGAUAAUGACGGUAUCCGGAGAAGAAGCCCCGGCUAACUUCGUGCCAGCAGCCGCGGUAAUACGAAGGGGGCUAGCGUUGUUCGGAUUUACUGGGCGUAAAGCGCACGUAGGCGGAUUGUUAAGUUAGGGGUGAAAUCCCAGGGCCCAACCCUGGAACUGCCUUUAAUACUGGCAAUCUCGAGUCCGGAAGAGGUGAGUGGAAUUCCGAGUGUAGAGGUGAAAUUCGUAGAUAUUCGGAGGAACACCAGUGGCGAAGGCGGCUCACUGGUCCGGUACUGACGCUGAGGUGCGAAAGCGUGGGGAGCAAACAGG